CCUACGGGUGGCUGCAGUCGAGAAUCAUUCACAAUGGGGGAAACCCUGAUGGUGCGACGCCGCGUGGGGGAAUGAAGGUCUUCGGAUUGUAAACCCCUGUCAUGUGGGAGCAAAUUAAAAAGAUAGUACCACAAGUGGAAGAGACGGCUAACUCUGUGCCGGCAGCCGCGGUAAUACAGAGGUCUCAAGCGUUGUUCGGAAUCACUGGGCGUAAAGGGUGUGUAGGCUGUUACGUAAGGCGUGUGUGAAAGGCGCGGGCUCAACCCGCGGACGGCACAUGAUACUGCGAGACUAGAGUAAUGGAGGGGGAACCGGAAUUCUCGGUGUAGCAGUGAAAUGCGUAGAUAGCGAGAGGAACACUCGUGGCGAAGGCGGGUUCCUGGACAUUAACUGACGCUGAGGCACGAAGGCCAGGGGAGCGAAAGGGAUUAGAUACCCGAGUAGUC
rnacentral:rRNA from 1 species